AACCUUAUGGACCUGCGGGCGUAUACCUGCGGAAGGAUCAUUAACCUUUCAAAUCAGGGUGCGGCGCGGCCCCCGAGGAGCGGAAACAAUCCUUGGGAGGUAUGCGGGGGCUUCGAGCCCCCCAUUUACGCACGCACGACUGCCAUCCUUACUUUACGAGCACCUUCUGUUCCCCCUCGGCGGGGCAACCUGCCGUUGGAACCGAAUAAACUCUUUUUGCAUCUAGCAUUACCUGUUCCG
rnacentral:misc_RNA from 1 species